AAAUAUUUAAAAUAACAUAAUCAUAUUCCCUGUAUUAAUCUAAACACUUAGAUAAGAGAUCCAAAAGCCCUAUUUGCUCUGAAUACGAAAGAAAUCCCUUGGCUCCAGAAUCGUACUCCUCCUACCCAACCAUAUCCAAACAUUUGCCAAGCUUAAACAGCUGCAAGUUAUAAUAUUCCACAGAGUUUUGACUCACCCGUCGCGAGUCUUUGAGAGUUAAUUCCCUUCUACCUACUACUUCUUGAAAGAUGAAAUGGAACCACAUCUUAUCAACUAGUUACUAUUAUUUUAAGAGACCAAAUCUAGACGAACAAUAGUGUAAUAUACUAUUUCAAAUGGUCAUUAAGAAUUUUGAAUUUUUACAAGUUGAUAUGUUCUGGUGACUCCCUCGAAUCUCCGCAUUGCUCCAAGAGUGUCAAGAACGAGAAUUUGAAGCAGCAGCACACAAAAAACAAGCAUAUGCCUUGACUCACCAUGGACACAGUACAGAAAAAUAUUACUCUUGUCAAAGGAUUGAGAUUAACUUUGAAUCACCAUGGACACAGUACGGAAAAAACAAGCAACACCAAAAUCUGCAGCCUUUUCCCUACAAACAGUAAAUCACAUUUCAUCGUUCAUUCUUAAGCUGUAGAGGUAAAGUUGAAGUUGGCACAAGUAGUUUGCCUGAACAGCAAUGAAGAGCUGAACCCAAGUGUUGAACUUGCAAGAUCAAACUGCAACAGGUUAUCUUCCAACUGAUGCCCUCCAAUGACAACAGAAGUCCUGGGAUUAACCCCACCAUCUACAAAACCAAGGCAAAUAACAUCUUUCUUCACUUGAACCAUAGAGUUUGCACCAAAUAUUCUCCAAACCACACUGCUGCUCUGCAACACCAGAUCGAUCGGAGGCACAGCAGGACCAACUCUAGUGCUUCCAACCGCAGUCGAGUCGAAACACAAAUCGAACGGUGCAACUGCUGCAACUCUAGGGACUUUAGAGAGCUGUCUAGCAAAAGCAUUAGUGAGAGCUUUGUGAAUGGAAGUCUCGAGUACGGUGUAGGGUUGAACAGUGCUGAUCUUUGUCCCACCAUUCCCUUCGUUGUCGAUUUUUAGCAAUGUUGCGUUCAAUGGAACGGUAUAAUCACCGCUGAUCUUGAUUGACUUAACUCCAAUGAAAUAGUCAGAGGAAGCAUCACCCUCAUAAGAACCAGAAGCUGUGCUAGCUUUGUUUAGGAUCAAGGGGGUGUAAAUAAGUGAGUUUGAGACAUCCAUUUUUGGCAUAAGGACAUAAGGACCAACUCCGAAAAAGACAACUCCUUUCGAAUUUACGGACGAGCUCAAACAAAUAGCAAACUUCCUGUGAAAACUGAAAGCAGCAGAGAAUUGGGAUGGUAGUGAGAUUUUAGUCCUCCCAAGUCCAGCCAUACCUUUAACACCCUUAGAAAGUCCCUCUAGUAAGAAUGUGGCACCACAAGUGAAGAGUAGGUUUGGAACUUUGGCAAGUCGUCCGGGAUUCGAUCCAUCAGUUGAUUGAAUGGACACAACAUCCUGGCCGAACUCUCCAGAGGUACCGGUCCGAGUCACUGUGUUUUCAGGCAUAAGGGCACAUGUAUUGUUGCUGCACCCUGGUUUGAGACUUGAGUAGCAUUCAGUGAUGCAGCUCUGUGAGUUUGCGAGAUUGCACGGAGCCGAUCUACAACGAUUAGGCUUGUAGGAUGAAGAGACAUAGGCUUGUUCACAGUCAACCCACAUGUACUGCCCACCAAGGUCAACAGUUAGCUUGACUGGGACAAGAGGGGUUCUUUGGUUGAUUUGGGCAAUAUAUUGGAGAGUUGAUGGGUCUUUAGAAACUGGAAGGACAAGUGCUUUAGGCAUGAAUGAUGAUUUUGCUUCAGAUGUUGUGGUGGAGAUAAAGAGAAGACAUGAAAAAAGAAGGUAGAUGCAGCUACAAGGAAGAGCCAUGGUUUGGUUUGCUUUGCUUUGGUGAUGUGCAAAUUAAGAUGAGUUUGUGAGUAAUCCUAAUGCCUACUCAAUGCAUUAUUUAUAUUGGUGUCUUUCUGUAUGAAAACGCGGCCAUGUUAUAGACAGACAGCUAUGAAGGAAUUAUUAUAUCCAAGUGUGAUUAAACAUUGACCAAGAGGAGACUACCUUAACAUAAAAUACGUUAUCUUUAACCAAAUGGGUCAUAUUUAAUUCAGCAUGUUUUGGAAUUAAGUGUCAAUUGGGAAAAAGGUGUUUGAAUUAAUAUUCAAUAUGAGAAAUGAAAAUGAAAACGCAUAUUCAUGAAAAAGAAAAACUUUGAAAACGCAGAGCUAGUACCCAUAGAAUCAGACGGUAUGGGUUCGGAACUCCAUAUGUGGGCAGUUGGGUUCACCGCCAUGCUCCUGCUUAUGGCCAUUUUGUUGGUAGUUGAGAACGCUGGGGAGAAGCUCUCUGCUUUGGAAUCUCCAGCUUCGCCGUUCCUGUUUGGAAUCUCCAGUGGCCUAAACUUCUUCCUCCCGACGACGAGGAUAGAGCCGAUUCAGAAACUCUUCUUUUUGCUUUAUUUGUCAAUGGGCCUCAGAGCUUUAGGGCUUCUCCAUGAUUAGAGGAAUUUUCAGGGCCUUAAUCAUGGAGACGCCCAUUAACAUUCUUCAGUUGCUAAAUCUAUUACAUUAACUUCCUCAUCGUCCACUUCAGCUUCUUGGUUCAGAUCAAAGGCAGGAACUUCUUCAUCAUCGUCGUCAAUAUUAACCAUACACAUCAGCGUCCUGCAGGGACACGAAUACCGAUGAAUGUGGAGAUCACGUGAAAUGGUGAGAUUCUGUGUGGAAUUCUAUAAAUAUUGCAGGUAAAACAUAGGGUACUGAGGUGGCCGGCUCUUACACAAGUCAUUCCACUAAUUUGCCUAUCUUACUGCCAGCACAUUACUAUCCACUCUCCAGUUUCCAAUACCUGGGAAAAUGCUGGCUUUACCCUUAUAAAAAUGCAGCAGCUCUUGGAUUUUUUUCACCAAUUUCAAUUCCAAAUGAAGCGGUGACCGACGGUUUAAAUAACACAUUGAAUAGGCAUUAGGAUUACUCAUAACUCAAUAGCUCAUCCUUGCACGUCACCAAACUAAACCAUGGAUCUUCCUUGUAGUUGUAGCAGCUGCAGCAUCUACCUUCUCUUUUCAUUUCUUCUCUUUAUCUCCAUCACAACAUCUGAAGCACAAUCAUCAUUUAAGCCGAAAGCACUUGUCCUUCCAGUUUCCAAAGACCAAACAACUCUCCAAUACACUGCCCAAAUCAACCAAAGAACUCCUUUCGUCCCAGUUAAGCUAACUGUUGAUCUUGGUGGGCGGUACCUCUGGGUUGACUGUGAACAAGGCUAUGUCUCUUCAUCCUACAAGCCUAUUCGUUGCGAAUCGGCUCAAUGCAAACUCGCAAACUCAAAGAGCUGCACCACGGAAUGCUACUCGAAACCCAAACCAGGCUGCAACAAUAACACCUGUGGCCUUUUUCCUGAUAAUCCAAUGACACAGUACGUUUCCUCUGGCGACCUCGGCCAGGAUGUUGUGGCCAUUCAAUCAACUGAUGGAUCGAAUCCCGGAAUAGUCGCCAAAGUUCCAAACUUUCUCUUCAGCUGCGGAGCCACAUACUUGCUAAAGGGACUUGCUAAAGGUGUUGAAGGUAUGGCUGGACUUGGGAGGACUAAAAUCUCAAUCCCAUCUCAAUUCUCUGCUGCUUUCAAAUUUGACAGGAAGUUUGCUGUUUGUUUGAGCUCAUCAACAAACUCCAGAGGGGUUGUCUUCUUUGGAAACGGUCCUUAUGUUCUUCUGCCAAAUAUUGAUGUCUCUGAGUCACUCAUUUCCACCCCCUUGAUUUUGAACAAAGUUAGUACUUACUCCGAGAGUGAACCUUCCUCUGACUAUUUCAUUGGAGUUAAGUCAAUCAAGAUCAAUGGGGAUGUUACUGUUCCAGUGAACACAACACUGUUGAAAAUCAACAAAGAAGGGUUUGGUGGGACAAAAAUCAGCACUAUUCAUCCCUACACUGUACUUGAAUCUUCCAUUCACAAAGCUCUCAUUGAUGCUUUCGCUAGACAGCUUUCUAAAGUCCCUAGAGUUGCACCCGUUGCACCUUUCGAUUUGUGUUUCGACUCGACCGGGAUUGGAAGCACUCGAGUUGGUCCUGCAGUGCCUCAGAUCGAUCUGGUGUUGCAGAGCAGCAGUGUGAUUUGGAGUAUAUUUGGUGCCAACUCUAUGGUUCAAGUGAAAAAAGAUGUUCUUUGCCUUGGUUUCAUAGACGGUGGGGUUAAUCCUAGGACUUCUAUUGUCAUUGGAGGGCAUCAGUUGGAGGAUAACCUGCUGCAGUUUGAUGUUGCUAAUUCAAGACUUGGGUUCAGCUCUUCAUUGCUGUCCAGGCAAACUACUUGUGCAAACUUCAACUUUACCUCUGAGUUUAACAAAGAAUGGGGGGCUUAUGCAAUGUGAUCAUCUACUGCUGUGGCGGGAAAGAUUCCAGUUUAGGGGUUUUGGCUGUUUUUUAGUACUCUUGUCCAACGGUAGACGAUGGAGGUUCAAUGUUAACCUCUAUCCUUUGUUUAAUUACUUUUUAAUAAGGUCACUUGCUGUGUUUCAAUCCUUUGUUAAAUUCGUACUUAGACCAAAAUCAUGGCUAAUUGAGUUGAAUGUUUUCCUGCGUUUAAGCCAAAUCAUAAACAAAACUCUUAACCUUGUCGUCUGUCAUAUUUAAAGAUGAAAAAGGCACAACACUGGUUCCACUAUUCAUUACGGGGUAACGUUCCUCUCUGCUUUCCGCGUCUGACACGUUGUUCUUCCGGUUUAGUUUGAUUUGGGUUUUCUGGGAUCUAAUUGUAAGUGUUCUUGGUUAGCAUCAAGGGUUUUCAGUUAUGUAUUCUUAAUUGCAGUUUUGUACAUGUACUGACCAUUGAUAUUCUAUAUGCUUUUGUUUAAUAUGGCCACAAAUUCUGAAGAUGAAUCUACUUCUUACAUGCUUACUUUCAAGUGUCAAACUGAAAGGAAGUUGCAAUUUCUUCUGACAUAAAAAUGCAGUCUAAUUAGAGGGGUGAGACACGAGCCUACAACAACAGUUCAUAUUCUUCGACAAGGCUAGAUGUGGGUGUACAUCAGCAGUCAGCUGUAAGGGAAGUUUUCUCACACUGCUGUUGUUACUGAUUCUGAUAUUAUUAUUACUGAUUCUGCUGUUGUUUCAGUUUUUUUCAAGUUGAUUUAUUCUCAAAUAUUGUGGUUGUGCAGACGUAAUGUGCCAGAGAUUAACAUUGAACCUCUAUCCUGAACAGUUGGACACACUACUAAAAACCAAUCAAAACCCAAAUCUGGAAUAUUUUUCCCCACAAAACAGUAAAUCACAUUGCAUAAUCCCCCCACUUUCUUUCUUAAGCUGUAGGGGUAAGGUUGAAGUUGGCACA
rnacentral:lncRNA from 1 species